AUAACAAUACAGGACUCUUUAGAGGCCCUGUAAUUGUAAUGAGUCCACUUGAAAUCCUUUAACUCUGAUCAAUUGGAGGGCAAGUCUGGUUCAGAGCCACUGACCCGUGCGUGCUGCAGCUGAAACUCCAC